CUACGUGCCAGCAGCCGCGGUAAUACGUAUGUCACAAGCGUUAUCCGGAUUUAUUGGGCGUAAAGCGCGUCUAGGUGGUUAUGUAAGUCUGAUGUGAAAAUGCAGGGCUCAACUCUGUAUUGCGUUGGAAACUGUGUAACUAGAGUACUGGAGAGGUAAGCGGAACUACAAGUGUAGAGGUGAAAUUCGUAGAUAUUUGUAGGAAUGCCGAUGGGGAAGCCAGCUUACUGGACAGAUACUGACGCUAAAGCGCGAAAGCGUGGGUAGCAAACAGGAUUAGAUACCCUGGUAGUCCACGCUGUAAACGCUGUCGAUUUGGGGAUUGGGCCUUGAGCUUGGUGCCCGAAGCUAACGUGAUAAAUCGACCGCCUGGGGAGUACGGCCGCAAGGUUAAAACUCAAAUGAAUUGACGGGGGCCCGCACAAGCGGUGGAGCAUGUGGUUUAAUUCGAUGAUACGCGAGGAACCUUACCCGGGCUUGAACUAACGGUGACGAAUCUAGAGAUAG
rnacentral:rRNA from 1 species